GAUGAACGCUGGCGGCGUGCCUAAUACAUGCAAGUCGAGCGAACGGACGAUAAGCUUGCUUUUCUGAUGUUAGCGGCGGACGGGUGAGUAACACGUGGAUAACCUACCUAUAAGACUGGGAGAACUUCGGGAAACCGGAGCUAAUACCGGAUCAUAUUUUGAACCGCAGGGUUCAAAAGUGAAUGACGGUCUUCCCGUCACUUAUAGAUGGUUCCGUGCUGCAUUAGCUAGUUGGUAAGGUAACGGCCUACCAAGGCAACGAUGCAUAGCCGACCUGAGAGGAUGAUCGGCCACACUGGGACUGAGACACGGUCCAGACUCCUACGGGAGGCAGCAGUAGGGAAUCUUGCGCAAUGGGCGAAAGCCUGACGGAGCAACGCCGCGUGAGUGAUGAAGGUCUUCGGAUCGUAAAACUCUGUUAUUAGGGAAGAACAUAUGUGUAAGUAACUGUGCACAUCUUGAAGGUACCUAAUCAGAAAGCAACGGCUAACUACGUG
rnacentral:rRNA from 1 species